rnacentral:rRNA from 1 species
UACGUAGGGGGCUAGCGUUGUCCGGAAUCAUUGGGCGUAAAGAGCGCGUAGGCGGCCAGAUAAGUCCGGUGUGAAAGUCACAGGCUCAACCUGUGAAUGCCGCUGGAAACUGUCUGGCUAGAGUCCGGAAGGGGCGAGUGGAAUUCCUGGUGUAGCGGUGAAAUGCGCAGAUAUCAGGAGGAACACCAGCGGCGAAGGCGGCGCCUCUGGGCCGGAAGCUGGACGCUGAGGAGCGAAAGCGUGGGUAGCAAACAGG